GGUCAAGCUACUAAGAGCUUAUGACGGAUGACUUGGUACGAGAAGGCGAAGAAGGACGUGGUAAGCAGCGAUAUGCUCCGGGGAGUCGCAAACAGACUUUGAUCCGGAGAUUUCCGAAUGGGGAAACCCUUCACGGGUAAUACCGUGAAAUCGCGCCAUGAAUUCAUAGUGGCGCGAAGCGAAACCGGGAGAAGUGAAACAUCUCAGUAACCCGAGGAAAAGAAAAAGACAUUGAUUUUCCUAGUAGCGGCGAGCGAACGGGAAUCAGCCUAAACCUCGUUCCGUAAGGGAUGGGGGGUUGCGGGACCACAAUAUGGGAUUGUAGAGGAAUAGCAGAAUGAGCUGGAAAACUCAGCCAAAGAGGGUGAUAGACCCGUACGCGAAAUUCCAAAGCACCCUAGUGGAAUCCCAAGUAAUGCUGGACACGUGAAACCCAGUAUGAAUCCGGCCUGACCACGGGCCAAGGCUAAAUACUAUCUCGUGACCGAUAGUGAACAAGUACCAUGAGGGAAAGUUGAAAAGAACCCCUGUAAGGGGAGUGAAAUAGUACCUGAAAUCAUAAGCUUACAAGCGGUGGGAGUCCUAUGCUUCCGCUUCGGCGGGAGAACGGAUGACCGCGUGCCUUUUGGUUAAUGAUCCGGCGAGUUGCUGAGCAUAGCAAGGUUAACCUUCCAACGAAAGUUGGCAGGGCAGCCGUAGCGAAAGCGAGUCUGAANNNNNNNNNNNNNGUUGCUGAGCAUAGCAAGGUUAACCUUCCAACGAAAGUUGGCAGGGCAGCCGUAGCGAAAGCGAGUCUGAAUAGGGCGCGUGCCCCGCACCCUUGUGGUGCGGGGAUUGAGUUAUGUUAAGCAGACCCGAAUGCCAGGUGAUCUACCCUUGGCCAGUGCGAAAGCUGGGUAAAACCAGCUGGAGGUACGAACCCGUUAACGUUGAAAAGUUAUGGGAUGAGCUGAGGGUUGGAGUGAAAGGCUAAUCAAACUUGGUUAUUGCUGGUUCUCCCCGAAAUAGCUUUAGGGCUAGCCUCGUGUAAUAGUUAUCGGAGGUAAAGUACUCGAUGGGCUAAGAGCCUUACCGGGUUUCUGAACCCAACGAAACUCUGAAUGCCGGUAACCGUAUCACGGGAGUCAGAAAGCGAGGGCUAAGCUUCGUUCUCAAAAGGAAAACAGUCCAGACCGACGGCUAAGGUUCCAAAAUUCAUGCUAAGUGGUAAAGGAUGUGAAACUUCUUAGACAACCAGGAUGUUGGCUUAGAGGCAGCCAUCAUUUAAAGAGUGCGUAACAGCUCACUGGUCGAGUGGUUUCGCGCCGAAAAUAAUCGGAGCUAAGCAUGGUACCGAAGCCUCGGAUUUCAUCCCGCUCUUCGCGAGCGGGAGAAGUGGUAGGGGAGCGUUCCGUUGUACUGUGAAGGCAGACUGAGAAGACUGCUGGAGGAACCGGAAGUGAUUAUGCCGGAAUAAGUAGCGAAAAAAUACGCGAGAAACGUAUUCGCCGUAAGCCUAAGGUUUCCUGGGGAAGGUUAAUCCACCCAGGGUUAGUCGAUCCUAAGCCGAGGCCGAAAGGCGUAGGUGAUGGACAAUCUGUUCAAUAUUCAGAUACCACCCAUUCCGCGUUAUCAGCUUUAGAGUGACGCAGGAGGUAGAAGCGGCAGCCGGUUGGAUGUGGCUGUUUAAGCUCGUAGGUCCUAUAAAGACCGAGAGGCGAAUAGGAGCCUGAUCUACGGAGAAGGCGAACUGCUUCGGGCCACACUGCCAAGAAAAACCUUUAAAGUGAGUUGGAUGGGUGAUCGUACCGUAAACCGACACAGGUAGGCGGGGAGAAUAUCCUCAGGCGCUCGAAUGAACACUCGUUAAGGAACUAGGCAAAAUAGCCUCGUAACUUAGGGAUAAGAGGUGCUCCAUUAGCGUAAAGUAAAUACUUAUGUAGCGCGAAGGAGUGACACUAAAGUGGGCUUUGUGACUGUUUAGCAAAAACACAUGACUCUGCUAACUCGCAAGAGGAUGUAUAGGGUCUGACACCUGCCCGGUGCUGGAAGGUUAAAAGGAGGGGUUAGCCCAUAGCAAUAUGGGUAAAGCUCUGACUUGAAGCCCCAGUAAACGGCGGCCGUAACUAUAACGGUCCUAAGGUUUCAAUGCCUUAGUAAAAUUUGGCUAUAUGCUGGGACAACUGAGCAUUUCAUAAUACCGAGGAGGUAAAAAUUUAUGAAUGCAGUUAAUCAG
rnacentral:ncRNA from 1 species